GUGUUUUAAUUUAGGAAUAAACUCCUCAUGGAUUCUUAAGCCUUUGGGAUGUAGGCACUGACUAUAUAUGGAACAACAUCUAUAAAACUAAGUGUUCUGUUAGAACAUGCAGAAGUGAGAAUGAGUCAGAGAGCCAGAAGCCAACCAGAAAAAUGAGAGCCGUGAGUGUCCAGACUUCUGUGCCAACACUUCCAGAAGGGACUUGGUACUACUUGAAGGACUUCUCCAAGGACAGAAGAUUCUUUCUAUCUCAUAAAAAAGAUGGAUACUCCUGAAGGACGAAAGAUUGGUAUGUGAAGGGUAAGUACCUUCUUGUGGUGGGAUAAAUGAUGGCUGUGCAGAUCUGAGAAGACCUGUGAGAGGAAAGCAUCAGAAGAUAAUGAGGUAGGACUUAGCUG
rnacentral:lncRNA from 1 species